UGAGGUAUCUCCAUACUGCUUUACACAGUGGCUGCACCAGUCUGUAUUUCCAUCAAUAGUGUAAGAGGUUCUUCUUUCUCCACAUCCUUGUCAGCACUUGUUUAUUGAUUAUUGAUGAUAGCAAUUCUGGCAAAUGUGAGAUGGUAUCUCAAUGUGGUUUUAAUUUGCACUUGUCUGAUGGUUAAUGAUGUUGAGCAUCUUUUCAUAUGUCUAUUGGCCAUCUGUAUGCCUUCUACAGACAAAUGUCUG